rnacentral:lncRNA from 1 species
CAUGUGUGUCGGUUAAGGUUCAUUUGGGGAGGAAGGUUCACUGUGAAUUACGAGACGAUGAAUCCACUCCAGAAAAUGGGUUUCCCACAGUUUGGAGGAGAAGUAGGGAAGGAGAGGUCAGGAGAAGGGAGCUGGAGAGUCUUGAAAAGAUUCCUAAACCAGGCCAGGCCCACAGGACAUCUGGAACCCAGGCCCAUCCCGGCCAGUGUCUGGAGAGCGGCUGUCUCCUGUAGUUGCUAUCCCUCAUUCCUUGGCCCGGACCCACCAAGGUAUUAUCGGUAAACCCGAACAGGUGAACCAGGAGUGCUGCAGAACGGGAUCCUACUGGUACCUCCCAGUCUGUCUUUUACAGCAUAGCCAGAAUGCCGUGUCUCCUUCUCCUUUCCUUCUGUCCUGUUCUAGUUCUGCAACCCUUGCUGCUUCCCAAAAGCCUCUGAGGAUUCUGACUCACCCUCCCUG